GACGAACGCUGGCGGCGUGCUUAACACAUGCAAGUCGAACGGAAAGGCCCUGCUUUUUUGGGGUGCUCGAGUGGCGAACGGGUGAGUAACACGUGAGUAACCUGCCCUUGACUUUGGGAUAACUUCAGGAAACUGGGGCUAAUACCGGAUAGGAGCUCCUGCUGCAUUGUGGGGGUUGGAAAGUUUCGGCGGUUGGGGAUGGACGCGCGGCUUAUCAGCUUGUUGGUUGGGUAGUGGCUUACCAAGGCUUUGACGGGUAGCCGGCCUGAGAGGGUGACCGGCCACAUUGGGACUGAGAUACGGCCCAGACUCCUACGGGAGGCAGCAGUGGGGAAUAUUGCACAAUGGGCGGAAGCCUGAUGCAGCAACGCCGCGUGCGGGAUGACGGCCUUCGGGUUGUAAACCGCUUUCGCCUGUGACGAAGCGUGAGUGACGGUAAUGGGUAAAGAAGCACCGGCUAACUACGUG
rnacentral:rRNA from 1 species